rnacentral:rRNA from 1 species
UCUCGGGUGACGAGCGGCGGACGGGUGAGUAAUGUCUGGGAAACUGCCUGAUGGAGGGGGAUAACUACUGGAAACGGUAGCUAAUACCGCAUAAUGUCGCAAGACCAAAGUGGGGGACCUUCGGGCCUCAUGCCAUCAGAUGUGCCCAGAUGGGAUUAGCUAGUAGGUGGGGUAACGGCUCACCUAGGCGACGAUCCCUAGCUGGUCUGAGAGGAUGACCAGCCACACUGGAACUGAGACACGGUCCAGACUCCUACGGGAGGCAGCAGUGGGGAAUAUUGCACAAUGGGCGCAAGCCUGAUGCAGCCAUGCCGCGUGUAUGAAGAAGGCCUUCGGGUUGUAAAGUACUUUUCAGCGGGGAGGAAGGCGAUAAGGUUAAUAACCCUUGUCGAUUGACGUUACCCGCAGAAGAAGCACCGGCUACUCCG